AUACGGAGGGUGCAAACGUUGCUCGGAAUCAUUGGGCGUAAAGCGCGCGUAGGCGGCUUGGCAAGUUGGAUGUGAAAGCCCUGGGCUCAACCCAGGAUGUGCAUUCAAAACUGCCUGGCUUGAAUCUCGGAGGGGGUCAGGGAAUUCCCGGUGUAGAGGUGAAAUUCGUAGAUAUCGGGAGGAACACCAGUGGCGAAGGCGCUGACCUGGACGAUGAUUGACGCUGAGGCGCGAAAGCGUGGGGAGCAAACAGGAUUAGACACCCUGGUAGUCCACGCCGUAAACGAUGAGUGCUAGGCGCCGGCGGAUUGACCCCGUCGGUGCCGAAGCUAACGCGUUAAGCACUCGGCCUGGGGAGUACGGUCGCAAGACUAAA
rnacentral:rRNA from 1 species